rnacentral:rRNA from 1 species
AUUGAACGCUGGCGGCAGGCUUAACACAUGCAAGUCGAGCGAGCGGCGGACGGGUGAGUAAUGUCUGGGAAACUGCCUGAUGGAGGGGGAUAACUACUGGAAACGGUAGCUAAUACCGCAUACCAUCAGAUGUGCCCAGAUGGGAUUAGCUAGUAGGUGGGGUAAUGGCUCACCUAGGCGACGAUCCCUAGCUGGUCUGAGAGGAUGACCAGCCACACUGGAACUGAGACACGGCCCAGACUCCUACGGGAGGCAGCAGUGGGGAAUAUUGGACAAUGGGCGCAAGCCUGAUCCAGCCAUGCCGCGUGUGUGAAGAAGGCCUUCGGGUUGUAAAGCACUUUCAUUGGGGAGGCGGUACCUGCAGAAGAAGCACCGGCUAACUACGUGCCAGCAGCCGCGGUAAUUC